rnacentral:rRNA from 1 species
AGCGAACGCUGGCGGCAGGCCUAACACAUGCAAGUCGAACGAACUCUUCGGAGUUAGUGGCGGACGGGUGAGUAACACGUUGGAACGUGCCUUUAGGUUCGGAAUAACUCAGGGAAACUUGUGCUAAUACCGAAUGUGCCCUUCGGUGGAAAGAUUUAUCGCCUUUAGAGCGGCCCGCGUCUGAUUAGCUAGUUGGUGAGGUAAAGGCUCACCAAGGCGACGAUCAGUAGCUGGUCUGAGAGGAUGAUCAGCCACAUUGGGACUGAGACACGGCCCAAACUCCUACGGGAGGCAGCAGUGGGGAAUCUUGCGCAAUGGGCGAAAGCCUGACGCAGCCAUGCCGCGUGAAUGAUGAAGGUCUUAGGAUUGUAAAAUUCUUUCACCGGGGACGAUAAUGACGGUACACGGAGAAGAAGCCCCGGCUAACUUCGU